AGAUUGAACGCUGGCGGCGUGCCUAACACAUGCAAGUCGAGCGGUAACAGGUGUAGCAAUACACGCUGACGAGCGGCGAACGGGUGAGUAAUGCUUUGGAAUCUUCCCAGUAGUGGGGAAUAACCAGUCGAAAGAUUGGCUAAUACCGCAUACGUCUGUAAAGGGAAAGCGGGGGCUCGUAAGACCUCGCGCUAUUGGAUGAGCCAAAGUCGGAUUAGCUUGUUGGUGGGUAAUGGCCUACCAAGGCGACAAUCCGUAGCUGGUCUGAGAGGACGACCAGCCACACCGGAACUGAGACACGGUCCGGACUCCUACGGGAGGCAGCAGUGGGGAAUAUUGGACAAUGGGCGAAAGCCUGAUCCAGCAAUGCCGCGUGGGUGAAGAAGGUCUUCGGAUUGUAAAGCCCUUUCGACGGGGACGAUGAUGACGGUACCCGUAGAAGAAGCCCCGGCUAACUUCGUGCCAGCAGCCGC
rnacentral:rRNA from 1 species